AGUGAACGCUGGCGGUAGGCCUAACACAUGCAAGUCGAACGGCAGCACAGUAAGAGCUUGCUCUUACGGGUGGCGAGUGGCGGACGGGUGCGGAAUACAUCGGAAUCUACUUUUUCGUGGGGGAUAACGUAGGGAAACUUACGCUAAUACCGCAUACGACCUACGGGUGAAAGCAGGGGAUCUUCGGACCUUGCGCAAUUGAAUGAGCCGAUGUCGGAUUAGCUAGUUGGCGGGGUAAAGGCCCACCAAGGCGACGAUCCGUAGCUGGUCUGAGAGGAUGAUCAGCCACACUGGAACUGAGACACUGUCCAGACUACUAGGGAGGGCAGCAGUGGGGAAUAGGGGACAAUGGGCGCACGCCUGAUCCAGCCAUACCGCGUGGGUGAAGAAGGCCUUCGGGUUGUAAAGCCCUUUUGUGGGGAAAGAAAAGCAGCGGGUUAAUACCCCGCUGUUCUGACGGUACCAAAAGAAUAAGCACCGGCUAACUUCG
rnacentral:rRNA from 1 species